rnacentral:rRNA from 1 species
GACGAACGCUGGCGGCGUGCUUAACACAUGCAAGUCGAACGGUGAAGCGAGUGCUUGCACUCGUGGAUCAGUGGCGAACGGGUGAGUAACACGUGAGUAACCUGCCCAUCACUCUGGGAUAAGCACUGGAAACGGUGUCUAAUACUGGAUACGACCAACCCUUGCAUGGGGUGUUGGUGGAAAGAUUUAUCGGUGAUGGAUGGACUCGCGGCCUAUCAGCUUGUUGGCGGGGUAGUGGCCCACCAAGGCGACGACGGGUAGCCGGCCUGAGAGGGUGACCGGCCACACUGGGACUGAGACACGGCCCAGACUCCUACGGGAGGCAGCAGUGGGGAAUAUUGCACAAUGGGCGAAAGCCUGAUGCAGCGACGCCGCGUGAGGGAUGACGGCCUUCGGGUUGUAAACCUCUUUCAGCAGGGAAGAAGCGAAAGUGACGGUACCUGCAGAAGAAGCACCGGCUAACUACGUG